UGGGCUAUAGCUUAAAAAGCAUCUCAGUUACGUUGAGAAGAUCACUGGUUUAGUGUGGCUUAA
rnacentral:tRNA from 1 species